rnacentral:rRNA from 1 species
GAUGAACGCUGGCGGCAUGCUUAACACAUGCCAGUCGAACGGGAAGUGGUGUUUCCAGUGGCGAACGGGUGAGUAACGCGUAAGAACCUGCCCUUGGGAGGGGAACAACAACUGGAAACGGUUGCUAAUACCCCGUAGGCUGAGGAGCAAAAGGAGAAAUCCGCCCAAGGAGGGGCUCGCGUCUGAUUAGCUAGUUGGUGAGGUAAUAGCUUACCAAGGCGAUGAUCAGUAGCUGGUCCGAGAGGAUGAUCAGCCACACUGGGACUGAGACACGGCCCAGACUCCUACGGGAGGCAGCAGUGGGGAAUUUUCCGCAAUGGGCGAAAGCCUGACGGGGCAAUGCCGCGUGGAGGUGGAAGGCCUACGGGUCGUCAACUUCUUUUCUCGGAGAAGAAACAAUGACGGUAUCUGAGGAAUAAGCAUCGGCUAACUCUGUG